GAGAUCUGUUAAAAAAAAAAAAAGAAUCUGAGGACCUAUAUGUAAACCCUAAGGACCUAAUCGUGAAUAUGAUAAAAACAAGGACUAAUCUGCAAAAUGCACCAAAUGACAAAUCCCACCGCUUAAGCUUCUCUGCCUUCGUUCUUAAGGAAGCAGAGAAGGCAGCUCGUGGGUGAUCAGGGAAAGAAAGAAAGAAAGAAGAAGAAGAAGAAGAAGAAGAAGAAGAGAAACAAAAAUUGGGGCUUUUGGGGUUCUUGCUUUAAUCUUUUCAUUGGGGGUCAAAAUUCUCAAAGGAUAGCGUAUCGCUUGCUUAAAUGUUAAGAAUGGGCUGAGGCAGUGGAAAGUUUAGAAGACGUUGGGCAGAACUUUUGUUAGCAUAUAUGUAGUUGUGUAUGAGCUACCUUGCAUCUAAUGAAAUGUGACUAUGAAUCUAAACCUGUGGAUUUUGUGUAAGUUAAUGGAUCCCUCAUGUAUAGGGUUUUGGAAUGUUAAAUUAAAUUCGUGUAAUGAUAUGAACUUAUGGUAAA